rnacentral:rRNA from 2 species
CCAGUAACGCCGAGAAGCGGCAACAGCCAAAUUGAAACGGCCCCCAGGGCCCGAGUGAAUUGAGAGGAGCUUUGGCGCGGGCCUCCCGAGUUCCCUGGAACGGGACGCCAUAGAGGGUGAGAGCCCCGUCUGGUUGGACACCUAGCCUCUGUAAAGCUCCUUCGACGAGUCGAGUAGUUUGGGAAUGCUGCUCUAAAUGGGAGGUAUAUGUCUUCUAAAGCUAAAUACCGGCCAGAGACCGAUAGCGCACAAGUAGAGUGAUCGAAAGAUGAAAAGCACUUUGAAAAGAGGGUUAAAUAGUACGUGAAAUUGUUGAAAGGGAAGCGUUUGUGACCAGACUUGGGCCCGGUUGAUCAUCCAGCGUUCUCGCUGGUGCACUCUGCCGGCCCAGGCCAGCAUCAGUUCGCGCCGGGGGAUAAAGGUUUCGGGAAUGUGGCUCCCUCGGGAGUGUUAUAGCCCGUUGCGUAAUACCCUGGUGCGGACUGAGGUUCGCGCUCCGCAAGGAUGCUGGCGUAAUGGUCAUCAGCGACCCGUCUUGAAACACGGACCAAGGAGUCGUCUUCGUAUGCGAGUGUUCGGGUGUCAAACCCCUACGCGUAAUGAAAGUGAACGCAGGUGAGAGCUUCGGCGCAUCAUCGACCGAUCCUGAUGUUCUCGGAUGGAUUUGAGUAAGAGCAUACGGGGCCGGACCCGAAAGAAGGUGAACUAUGCCUGUAUAGGGUGAAGCCAGAGGAAACUCUGGUGGAGGCUCGCAGCGGUUCUGACGUGCAAAUCGAUCGUCAAAUAUGGGCAUGGGGGGCGAAAGACUAAUCGA